GGAACAACUACUUCAAGGUCUCAGAGCGAGUGACGUCGCCGAUUGAAACGCUAUUAGCGCCCACCACCGCUAACUAGCUAGUCAUUUCACAUCGGUUUCACCUAUAUAUACUCUUUUAGACUUGCUGAACAGAAUUUGAGAAAAGACGCGCUCUUUGAAAGGAGAUCCUGGGUUUAUAAGCGUAGAUAUCGAAAGCAUGCAUGAGCAUGCUUUUGCAGCACAGUCGAUAGCGCGCCGGACGUCGGGCUAUAUCUAGACCUGCUUCCUACUGUUUAAUUCCAAUACAUUUCUUUCAAUGUUCCACUCUUCCUAUACAAUUAUUUGCUGCAGACAAGAGGAUAUUCAACAGUCGUACGAGAAAAUAAAGGAAAACUGACCCAAGAUCAGUACUGUACAUAGGCAACUUCAACCCAAUGUAAUGCAGAGCGCGUCCCAGUCGUCAACACAGUCGGCUGCAGAGGAGGUUACUUUCUACGUUGUUCGGUUUAUAUAAGAAUAUCAAAUUAAAUGAAUCUAAUAAACUCUUUUCCAGGCAGUUUGAAUGUAUAUUAUUAUUCUGUGCAGAAUAUAUGUAUGUUGACCUACAACACAAAUGAGCAUCAUGACUUCAACAAAGAAGGCAAAUUAGAACGUACCCGAUCCUCCCAUGCGAAUCAGCGAUCAUCCUCUUUCCCGCUCCAAAUAAAGACCUUUCACACCCACCACCCAUCUAUUCAGACCUCUCUCUCGAUACAGAUCUCUUGAUCCAUCCUCUGGCUGCAUUUUUAAGUUCCACAAGGUAGGGGUGUACCCCCUCAGCAAGAGGAAGAAGGAUAACAUUUUGUUGUCAACUGCACUGUCCUCAGUAGUAUGAUGAAUCAGACCUCAAUUGCAGCAAUCCAAAGGUUGUAUGAGGAAAUUGUGAAAGGUAUUUGGACAGAAAUAUGUAUGUUUGGCUACCUUUAAGACCCUAUCCCUCAACCACCACAUCCGCCAGAAUGUAAAAAACAAAUGAUUCCAAUUAUGCAAAUUCGCCAAAGUCAGCCCCUCCCUUCCUGUCGGCUGAAACUCUCAUCCAUGCUUUCAUCUUCUCCAGAAUAGACUAUUGCAACUCACUUCUCCCCGGCACUAACACAAACUCCCUCGAUAAGCUCCAAAUGGUUCAAAACUGAGCAGACCAUCUUCUAACCCACUAAAUCAUCCUGGCAGCAUAUCACCCCCAUCCUCUGUGAACUCCACUGGCUCCUUGUCUCCCACCGCAUUAAUUACAAGAUCCUCCUGACCUAAAAAGCUCUCCCCCACCUUGCUAGCCAUUACCUCUCUGACCUUCUUCUCUCCUACAGUACCAGCCCUCAUGCUCUCUCCCCUCAACCACAUUUGGCCACCUUGUCAUCCCCAGGUCCAAGCUCCAGAGUUUCAGUGACAGGGCCUCCUCCAGGGUUGCUCCUAGGCUCUGGAACUCCCUCCCUCAAGCCAUCCGUUACUCUUGAGUUCAUCAUCAUCAUUCAGUCCCGCCUAAAAACCCACCUCUUCACCAUGGCCUACCCUUACCUCCCCCUCCACCAUUCUCACACACACCUCUUCUGUUUCACACACUCGCACACACACAUACACGCAACACCUGCUCGCUCAAUUACCAGCUGUCUCACUCACAUACUUGUUUACCUGCUGCUGUGCGUUUUGUUGCUAACCUUACUUUGCUACCUGACAACUUUACAUUUUUUACUAUUUAAUUACCUUUUAUAUUUUUCGUUUUUCAGUAAGUACAGAUAGUAGUAUAAAUCCCUUCGCACGGUCCCCGCAGCCGGACAACUUUCUCAUGGCUUCUGGGGGGAAAUGCUGUAGGAAUGCUCAAUCGGUGUCGCUCAUUCAGCCGACAGAAACUUUAAACCGGUUCUCCCCAUUAAGCAACGGGUCAGAGUUAGAGGCCGAGCCUUCUCUAGUCUCUACUCCUCCCGUUACGGGGUCUGAGACGCCGAAGUCUCCCACCAUUAGCUCGGACAUAUUGAAAACCCUAGUCAUUGGCGACUCCAUUACCCGCAGUAUUAGACUUAAAACUAAUCAUCCAGCGAUCAUACAUUUACAUUUAAGUCAUUUGGCAGACGCUCUUAUCCAGAGCGACUUACAAAUUGGUGAAUUCACCUUAUGACAUCCAGUGGAACAGCCACUUUACAAUAGUGCAUCUAAAUCAU